AGUGAACGCUGGCGGUAGGCCUAACACAUGCAAGUCGAACGGCAGCACAGUAUGAGCUUGCUCUUACGGGUGGCGAGUGGCGGACGGGUGAGGAAUACAUCGGAAUCUACUUUUUCGUGGGGGAUAACGUAGGGAAACUUACGCUAAUACCGCAUACGACCUACGGGUGAAAGCAGGGGAUCUACGGACCUUGCGCGAUUGAAUGAGCCGAUGUCGGAUUAGCUAGUUGGCGGGGUAAAGGCCCACCAAGGCGACGAUCCGUAGCUGGUCUGAGAGGAUGAUCAGCCACACUGGAACUGAGACACGGUCCAGACUCCUACGGGAGGCAGCAGUGGGGAAUAUUGGACAAUGGGCGCAAGCCUGAUCCAGCCAUACCGCGUGGGUGAAGAAGGCCUUCGGGUUGUAAAGCCCUUUUGUUGGGAAAGAAAAGCAGCAGGUUAAUACCCCGCUGUUCUGACGGUACCCAAAGAAUAAGCACCGGCUAACUUCGUG
rnacentral:rRNA from 1 species